ACGGCCAUACCAUGCUGAAUAUACCGGUUCUCGUUAGAUCAUUGAAGUCAAGCAUCAUUGGGCGCGGUCAGUACUUGGGUGGGUGACCACCUGGGAACUCCGCGUACCGUU
rnacentral:rRNA from 1 species